rnacentral:lncRNA from 1 species
CAUUGUAGGUAGAAAAUAAAUUAAAACAAACCUUAGGAAAAGAAAACAAAGGAAAAUACGAUCACCAUUAUAACAGGAGUUCCCACUGUUUUUAAGACCAUUGAGAACUGCAACUUUGGACAGCGUCGAUAACGAUUACUUGUCUAUUUUACAUUUACAACUACUGAGGAAAUGAUUGAGUUUCCAGAACCCAAAAUCGAGAUCCCAUUUGAGAGCAUCCACUCCAGAUUAAUGAAACAGGGAGGGAGUUCUGGAGCAAGAAUAACUGGAAUGAAUUCAGUGGAAAAUAUGAAAAUUCAUUGGGGGUUAAUUAAUUUAAAAGCCUAAUUCUAGCAUUUUCAAAACAAAAAAUAUCAUCACAAAAAAUCUAACAAGCAGGAGGAAGAAUAAACAUUACGAAAGACAAAUUGAUGCCACCUAAUAGCACCUCAUAAGUCGCAUGAAUUUGUCUUGCCUGGUGGCCUAAAAAGAACGUGGCGAUGUUGGUAAUAUAAAGAUGGAUAGAUAUUAAAGUUAAAGCCAUAGAUGACAGAUAAAUAAUGCACAGUCAGAAAUUUACCACAUGAGAUGUGUUUGUAGAAGCUCCAUUGCCAUAUGUGGGAUUUGAUGAUCUUCCUAGAAAAAUCAGAUGCAAAUUGGGAUCGGUACAGGGAUCAACGAUUUAUGAACAAUCAAAGUCAUAAAUUCAAAACCUAAAGAGGUUAAUGUAUAUAGACAAAAUUGCAAGACAGCGUAUUUAGAAACCUCCCCCCACCACCACCACCACCACCACCACCACCACCACCACACCAUAUGCGCACACAUAGAUGUAUGCGUCUUCACAGAAAUGAUAUUUCGUUGUAAUGAGAUGAAGGACAAAAAAGAUGAGAGAAAAAUAUUUACAAAUACAUUUUCAGCAUGGAUAUGAUAGCAAAGGAAUUGGAAAAUAUGUCGCUUUCUAUCUAAAAUAAAAUGCAAAUGGUGUUCUAGAAUAUCCACACAGGGAAAGUUCUGAGUGACCAUUGCCCUCAAGCUUGCAGCAAGGAGUGAUGCAAAAAAAAAAAAGAAAAGAAGGAAAAAUUAAUGGAUAAUCUGUCUAUAUUUUUACUAUAUCACAUGAGUACCAUAUAUGUACCACCCAAAAGGAGUAAUUUUUAUGUAUGUAUAUAUUCCAGAUGUCAUGAAGACCCAAACCUCCAUUCCCUGCUGCAGAGUGAACAGCAGCAAGCUUGUUUUCGGUAUGCUGCAAAGCUCUAGCUACAGCUUCAUCCAAUGCUAAUUGUGACUUGACUUUCAUGUUCCCAGAACGAUGAGCCUCAGUAUUUCUAUUCACGGGACGGCGCUGCAUCAAUGUUUCGUACUGACUGACUGAUAGGGAAUUUCCUGAAAAGCAAAUUUUGUAAAAUCAAUACACAAUAGAAAGAGGAAAUCACAGCAGCUGAGACAGGAAAUAAACGAUAUCCAAGUCAGUUAAUGUUCUUCAAUGAAAAAUGCCAGAGUGUCCCUCUUCAUCCUGAUCGUCUGGGGGAUCUUGGCCAACGCCACUCGGGUAAUGUGCAAGAAAAAUCCAAUAUCUAUGAGCUUUCUUCUUUGAUGACGAAUCAAAUGCAACCCAAAACAGAAUCCAAGUGAUACUUCAUAUGAGCUGAAAUUCUUUCUAAGUUGAUCAGCAUUAGACUGAGCCCUGUUUCCAAAAUUAAAAACCCAAUUCUAAAACUGAGGUCUGUUGAACCAAAUCCCAGCGAAAUAUUCCCAGGAUAGCAACGUGGAAGACAUGGGCCGGGAGAUGGAGCAGGAACAGGAUUUGUGACGUUGAAGAAACCGAUUCCGUCGAAUAUGACGAUUUUCUUGUGAAAUUUCCAGUUAAAUGUCUUUGAAUUGUGUAAUACUGUUACCAGAUGUAAUCGGUCAGCUACUUACUCAAUCCAGAGCCUCCUAUCAUGCAGCCAUUUGAAGGUGACAAAGAAUAAACCAUACUUUGCUAAAAUCGGUAUAAUACAAGACUGAAUCGUUCGUUCUCCUGGUAUAAAUGCGCCAUGGCCAAUUCGAAGAAAGCCUAGUGGACUAAAAAUGGUUUUCAGCAGAAUUAAUUCAUCCCACCAGAAGCAUCUUGCCUGCUGACGGGAGUCAACUCCCUCGCCGGAACAGAACUCUACGUACAGUCGCAUUGAAAGAACACCGAUGGGGAGAACGCGCCCAACUCAGAGGGCACAUAUGCAGUUUAUGGGUCCCAAGCUUCAGCAAUGGGGGAGCUUCCUGUUUCGUGCUAUCAGAGUUUCAGCUGGCUCUAGAAGUGGAUUCCCUCGUGGUCUGGGGCAGUCAAUUCAAUGGAGACUAAGCGAGAGAGAAACAUGAGGGGCGCCAUGAUGCUGCAGAAGUUUUCGGUCGUGAAAAAAAUUCAGACGCCAAGAAUUUAAACCCAAAUAAAUAGAGCGAGCGAGAGAGCGAGAAACCGAGAGAGCGAGAGAGAGAGAGAGAGAAGAAGAGAGAGAGAGAGAGAGAGAGAGAGAGAGAGAGAGAGAGAGAGA